AAGAACCUUACCAGGAUUUGACAGUCUCCUGACGACGGUAGAGAUAUCGGUUUCCCUUCGGGGCAGGAAGACAGGUGGUGCAUGGGUUGUCGUCAGCUCGUGUCGUGAGAUGUUGGGUUAAGUCCCGCAACGAGCGCAACCCCUAUUGCCAGUUACCAUCAUUAAGUUGGGGACUCUGGCGAGACUGCCGUGGAUAACACGGAGGAAGGUGGGACGACGUCAAAUCAUCAUGCCCCUUAUGUCCUGGGCUACACACGUACUACAAUGGCAACAACAAAGAGCAGCAAGUCCGCGAGGCCAAGCCGAAAUCUCUAAAUGUUGUCCCAGUUCGGAUUGCAGGCUGAAACUCGCCUGCAUGAAGUCGGAAUUGCUAGUAAUGGCAGGUCAGCAUACUGCCGUGAAUACGUUCCCGGGCCUU
rnacentral:rRNA from 1 species